GGCUCCCGCUCUCCGCGACGGUCACUUCGGUGCGCCGCCGCUUUGUUCUGCGCUUAGCGAGGAUGUGCCGGGCUCCGCGCUGCUUCCGCCGAGGGUGCCCCGGAGUGUCUGUCAGUAUUCUUCUGCGGACGGCCCUUAUGGCUUCUCCAUCGGGGACGUCAGAUUCCAGCGGCAGCGGUCGCAGGCUGACGGAGCAGUUAUCCGGAGGACCUCCUUAGGCCGAAGCUCCCUGUUCUGAGGCAGCGCGAUUUCCCACCCGCUCCCGUCCGUACGUGCACGGCACGGCUUUGCCACUGUGGCACGAAGCACGGACUGCGGGAGUACUGUGUAGAAGUCUCUAAUUCUCGGCUUAGUGCUUCCCCACCCCUUUAAUGGACUGCUGCUAUGGAGACGCCAGGCUUAGCUCAAAAUGGCUAAUAAGGCGAAUUGGAAAGAGAAGCGUGGCCGGUACGAACGGGGGAAGGGAAGAGGUCCUUUUUGCCACUGCUAUAUGAGAUGCGGCCAGGAGAGAGGGGAGGGCGGCAGCCAUCCGUGUGCAGAGGAUGUUUCCCAUGUGUCCUACUUGCUGAAGACCAGUUCACAAGUAAAGGAAUAUGGCUGCACUUUCUUACUGACGUGUCACACCCUUCUGUGACGUAUCCCCAGUGAAGUAUUCAGCCUUUCAUCCAGUAGUGCAGUGUCAGUAUUUUAUUUUUAAAGACUCUGACCAGCUAGUUUAAAACAAAUGAACAAAUAAAACGUCAAGUGUUCUUUAUUAAAUAACUCAAAAGGUAAAGCACAUUGUGUGAUUAAGAGAGACAAUACUACUACUUCCAAAGGAUUUUUACAGCAGAAAACAAGUUGUGACAAAUAAGCAUUUUGGUCUAGCAGCCAAAUUGUCCUCAUUGUAAUGGAGUUAAUUUCGGUCCUCAAAUUGUGACUUGUUUUUUAAAAGAUACGCUGCUAGAAAUUCAAUGGGAUUUGGCGGUCUGUAAAAAAAAAAAAAGUGUAAAUCAAAAGCAAUUAAUUUUUGUUAUAUGAACCUGGGUAGGUGAAGAACUAAUCGCCUUCUCUGAAAAGCAACGUAACUCCUCUCAAACACCUGGAGGCACUGCCUUAGGGACAACCAACUACCCAGACCAACUCAGGAAGUUUCCAGUUUACACCUGGUCAGUAAGUUUUUAAAUAAGGAAUCCUGGUGGCCAUUAGUUCCAUGCUAUUAAAUUGCUAAAACAGUUACACACCUGGAAUGAGGGUAUACAGUAUUUAUGCUCACAGUGUACAUACCUCAUUGUAAGUCGUAUGCAUUUAUCGAUUUCUUUAAUUCAUACUGCAUCAAAUAACACUUUAUCAGUUCUUGCUUCUUUUUCUUCUUGUGAUUCUUGUGGCAUUUGUGCAUUACAAGUGUUUGCGUAGUUUCUGGCAACUACUAUUUCCUGGGCCCUUAGCCCAAAUAAAGCACUAAUGUGCUUUAAUGUCCUCAACCCCAUCUUAAAAGUUACACGGCUUAAUUAUGUGACCUAUGAAGAAUCUCCUCCUUUUUUUCCAAUUAUGAAUUUUCUACCUAGCUCAAUUUCAUUAUUGUAUCAGAAGAGAUGGAAAAUGCAAUCCAUCAUUUCCUUGCUAUUCAUGAUUAAUCAUAUUUCUAAUAUAUUUUCUCUCAGGCUGCAGUACUGUCUAUUCAGUCACACCCUGCACUGAUGGCAUUCCAUACUUAAUGACCACCUUGUCACUCCUUUCUCUACUUUUUUACAUUGUGCCAGAAUACAGGGGAACUGGAAUUAUGCAAAACAUUCAAAAUACAAGAAUGUUAAAGGUUUAAAUAAUGACAUUGUGUUUUUAUCCCUUCAAUUUCUAAGUCACACAAACUGUAACUAAGUUCCAACUCUUCAUUUACUCAGAAGAUAUUUUUGUAAGGGUAAUUCUCAAUUUAUAAAGUUCCUGUGCUAUUAUUUACAGGCUGAUCAACUCCAAAACAAAACAACAAAAAACCCCAAGCUGUUCUGUAUAACCCAGUAUCAUUAACAAACUGGCACUCAUUUUUUCAAGUUGUUACAAACGAUCCUUUCCACGAUUAUCGUGUUGAGCUUUGUUCACCACAGAAGUUCACCAUUUACUUUCACUCUACGUCUUUCAUCAUCCAACCAGUUCCUCCCAUAUGAAAACUUUUCCUUUUGUCUCACAGCAACUUAACUCUCAUUAACAGCCAUUAGUGACAGACUGCCAGAAGCUUUUUGGAGAUUUAAACUGACUCUGUCAUCUGGAUUCCUGUUUACAUGUGUCUGUUGAUUCCUUCAAUUAACACCAAGAGACUUAAAGUGCUGAUUCCUCCCCAGAUGACACUCAGUCUGCAGCAGACCUCCCACCGAUGGCAACUGAAGAUCAGCGUGCUGCCUCGGGAGCAGGGUGUACCUUCCUACAUGCUCUUUUGUUUUGCUAGAAGCCUGUACAAUCAGUUCAAAUUCACAGCUCCUUCUGAGAUUAAGGCACCGCGGAUGGUUGUUCUGGCUAUAGGUACAGUGAGGUCAUUCAUCCAUACCAGCUUUGGAAAUGUUAUUUCAGCAAAACUGAGAAAUGGUUUAUAUGCAGUGUGACUCACCAAUAGUUGAGAUAGAAAUUCAUUUGGACAAGAUGAACCACUUUAUUAUUGUUAAAGAAUAUGCUUCUGUGUUGCCUGAUAAGAGAUUUGAGGCGCCUUAACAGAACAGAACAGUCUUUACUCAAAGGAUGAACUACUGUUUGUUGUAUUACUGUGUCAACACUGCAGGGUCAACCUCAUCCAUUAAAAAGUGUUUCAAACUUCUUAGGAGAAGCUAUGUCCAGGCCUGAUUUGCAUUUGUUUCUUUCUUUUGAAUGGCAAGCAGAACUCUUUAUAAUCCCACACGAUAGAAAUUUUGUUCAAAAUUAGAACAGCUUCUUCCCUUGUUUUUAUAAGGUAAAUUAUGUGAUAAAAUUUAUGAAAAGUAGUCUUUUCCCUACAAAAACUUUGCAGUAGUAAGCCACAUUGUGAGCCAAGAAAUUAAUUAAAUAACCUUAACCAUGCCAUAUGCAGCUAAGUGAGGAUCACAUCCUGCUACAAUCACAGCAUUUUAUGAACUUGUUGUAAUGGCUUUCUUACAUCUGUCAAACUAAUACCAUAUCUGGUGUGUGAGAUCAACAAAGGUGACAAACUACCCAAGUUUGAGACCUACUUUCUUCCUAAGGACAGAAGGAACAUUUCAGUAUCUUACCUCUCUUUUGCAAGAACAGCAAGUCCCUGUAGCAAGAUAGGUACAACAGUCUGAUCCAAGUAGGCACGUGUGGGUAACGACUGAAGAUCCACCUUUUGCUUUGAUGUUUUCUCUGCGUUUAACUUCUCAUUUUCCACUAUCCUCUGAAGGAAAAGUGAAUGAAUAUUGGUAAUAGCAGUUAGAUCUACUUUGAAGUA